rnacentral:sRNA from 1 species
CUGACAGUCCUGAAGACUGAAGUCCUUGUUGUAUCCACAGAACAGGUGCAGAGUGGGAAGUGGCAGGACUAGCUUCCUCACACUAUUUCAGGAUUAACCUGGAAGGACCACAUUCACUUAUCAUGCCAUUGAAUCCAUGGCCUCU